AGAAAGCACCUAAGCUGCUAGCUGCUCCCACAAGACUCCCAGAUCCAAGAAAGCUUCCUGGCUUUUGUGCAGGCCCAGCUGGAGUUGAAUUGUUUUUAUUCUUUCCUCAAAGGACAUGAGCUCUCGCUCAGCAUCCUGCUGCAGAUGCAGAGGCUGACCCCUGUGGUCAGGCUUCUGCUCUGCCGUCAAGGGCUCCGCCUAUCCCUUUGGAACUAGGUUACACAUUUCUAGGGACACUUGCUGAGGAGGUAACGGGAGACAGAAGAUCUUGGGAGCAAUUCAGAGGAAAAAGAAGACCAAGUAACCCACUGUUUUCGCUGGCAGAGGCCUCAACUCUCUUUCCACAGAGUGCUUAGCUGGCAUUGUCACUGAAGCAAAAUGAGAAAGAAGGUUGAAGAGCCGCUCACUCUCUUCGUAAGUAAGAGGCUUCGCACCAACGCUGCAGGAGAAUCUUUUGGCUUGGUGUCAUUGCUGAAGCACCCUGGUGAUAACCUCCUUUGCCAAGGUGUUCUCUGAGAUGAGAGUCACUGAUAGAGCACUAGCAGGUACAACCCUACACUCAGUCUCCAGCACCAUAAUAAGCAACCUAAGUGGGCUGAAGAUGUGGCUCAGCAGUUAAGUACACGUAUUGCUUCUGUAGAGGACCCAGGUUCGAUUACCAGCACCCACAUGGUAGCUUAUAAUCUUCUAUACCUCUAGU
ensembl:lincRNA Gm12681 predicted gene 12681